GACGAACGCUGGCGGCGUGCCUAAUACAUGCAAGUAGGACGCAGUUGCGAACGGGUGAGUAACGCGUCGGUAACUGCCUAUUAGACGGGGACAACUAUUGGAAACGAUAGCUAAUACCGCAUACUAGUAGAUGGACCUGCGUUGUAUUAGCUAGUAGGUAGGGUAAUGGCCUACCUAGGCGACGAUACAUAGCCGACCUGAGAGGGGUAUCGGCCACACUGGGACUGAGACACGGCCCAGACUCCUACGGUAGGCAGCAGUAGGGAAUCUUCGGCAAUGGGGGGAACCCUGACCGAGCAACGCCGAGUGAUUGAAGAAGGUUUACGGAGCGUGAAGCUCUGUUGUUAAGGAAGCGUUACUUAACCAGAAAGGGACGGCUAACUACGUGCCAGCAGCCGCGAUAAUAC
rnacentral:rRNA from 1 species